rnacentral:lncRNA from 1 species
UUUUGGAUUACUAAUUCCUAGAGCAAAAUCAAUAGGAAAUAGGAGGGACAAUAUAAUCGAGUAGUCAAUUUGUUACAUUUUCCUUCAAAAUAUGAUGCUCGAACUAGUAAUAUGGUUCUUAAGAUUGUUCGAAUCAACAAAUCCUAUAUACAUGGAUGACUUAAAUCACGUUUUGUUUCUCAAUUUCAGAUCACCUUAUCAGGAUUGUUAAACUUGACAGACGGAUUGUGGUCCAGCUGUGGUGAUGAGCGGAUCAUUGUAUUCAAAACCAACCAUAAGGACAGGCUUGAUCCUGCUUUGCUGCUGAUACAUCCUGGCCCAUUAAAGUAAGGGAGCUGGAAGAUGGCCCUGUAGUUGAAAUGCAGGAAGUGGAGCAAACAUUGCAACGGCCAGCUCGUGCUCGCAAAACUCCAGAAUAUCUCAAGGACUAUAUCACCUAGGGGAAUAUUCGGGAGAAUUAUUCCAUGAGGACAGCUGUGAUUUUUAUUAUCUUUGUUUUAUUAUUGCAAUUGGCUAGUUACAAAAAAAGUGGUAAAAUGAAAAGGAUAUAUGUAAAGUGGAAAGGCGUGAGCAAAAGAAGAAUAUAAUACACAAAAGUUUCUUUCUUUCUUAUCUCUAUUAUUUUCUCUCUGUUCUUGUGGAGCUCACACCUGCUCGAAAGGUGGAAACCUCGUGAUACUAACAAAUAUUCAUUGGAGGUCGUAUCAACUGGUGCUUUCAUUGCCUUUUUUCUGCUCCUGGUCAUUCUCUGUCGUCUACUCCCUAUUUCUCUGCAAAAAUGACCAACCAAGAGGCCACAACGGAUCCUGAGAUUAUUUCUAAGAUGCAAACACUUCUUGAAAGCCACACACUGGCUGUUCAUCAAAACCUCCAAAAAUAUAUGUCCACGGUUGAUUCUCGUUUUGAGGAGCUACGAUCUCAUAUCAGUAGUUCUAUCGGAGUUUCAGGAGGUUCAUCCCGUCCUCCGGCGUCAACACCGUCAUCUUCGACUACGGUUCCGACAUCGUCGACGGCUUUCCCAACACAGCCCACUACUCUUGUUAGUAGUACGGAUAAUUCACCUCUGUUACGCUCCAUGAAAAUGGAGGUUCCAAAGUUUGAUGGUACUGAUCCAAAUGGAUGGGAUUUUCGAAUCAAUGAAUUUUUUGAUUUUCAUGGCACUCCGGAUCAUCUACGGUUACGUAUUGUUUCUUUUCACAUGGAAGGAAAAGCUGCUGCAUGGUUUCAGUGGAUGAAAGCCAACAAUCUAUUGAGCACUUGGCAAAGUUUUUUAAUCAAUCUCAAACAACGUUUUGGUGCUUCUAUGUAUAAAGAUCGUCAGGGCAAUUUGUCCAAGCUCACACAAACAUCUACAGUUACAGAGUUUCAAUCUGCCUUCGAAGAGUUGAUGAAUAAAGUCACGGGCAUUUUCGAGCCGUUACUGAUUAGUUUUUUUAUCACUGGCUUAAAACCUGACAUUCGACGAGAGUUGUUGUUUGGCAGACCCACGUCCCUCAUGGAAGCCUUUGCUCUAGCACGCGCAUAUGAAGCUAAAUUUGAGGAAUCAAAAAUUUCAGGCCGUUCUUGGACAAAAUGGAACGCUGUUACUCCUCAACCACAACAAACCACCCCUGCUCUCACUCACCAUGUCCACAACAAAUUUCCUUCCACUUAUCCACAUGCCAGUUUUGCUACUCAAAAACCAUCAUCCUAACCGCCACUUUUACCUACCCCAAAACCAAUACCACCACCGCCACUUUUACCCACUCCAGCCCUCCCCAUCCGUCGUCUCUCCCCGGUGGAAUUGAAAGAAAAAAGAGACAAGGGGUUGUGUUACAAUUACGACCAGAAAUAUAGUGCAAACCAUCAUUGCCGUAGUAAAUUUCUCUUGUUGUUAGGCACAGAUGAUGAUGACAGUGAACUAUCGGAGGAGUCUCCCUUGCUUGAACAAACAGAGGAAGUUGUGACAGCUAAUAUAUCCAGUUUAAAUGCACUAGCUGGGCAAUCUAACCCACGAUCUUUGAGGGUACUAGGCGAAAUUGGCCGCCAACACUUACAUGUUUUAAUAGAUAGUGGCAGUACACACAACUUCAUCAAACCACAAUGGGCAGAACGACUUGGCCUGCAAAUUCAAUCCAUCCCUGCUUUUCGGGUUUAUAUUGGUAAUGGCGACUUCUUAAUUUUCCGUUUUCAAUGUCUUCAAGUGCCACUAGUGAUACAGGGUCACACUUUCAAAUUGGAUUUCUAUAUAUUGCCAAUUGAAGGUCCCGAUGUUGUCCUGGGAAUCCAGUGGCUUUAACAUCUUGGUAAAAUAUCUACAGACUACCGUGCAAUGACUAUGGAAUUUUGUUGGGAGGGCAAUCUAAUCAUUUUACGAGGUGACCCCAUCCAAACCCCUAAUAUGAUUUCCUUCCAUCAAUUUCAUGCCUUGUUAUCUACAGAUGCCGUGCAUUUAUUAUUUGAGCUGCAUCCCAUUAUUAAUGACACACUUGCUUCCGAUACAAAUUUCUCACUCUCGGAACCUCACCUUCCCACCCAAUUACCCGAACAAAUCACCAUUCUCCUUCAACAAUAUAAAACCUUAUUUUCCCCACCUACGGGUCUCCCUCCUCAUAGACUCAUUGACCAUAAAAUUCACCUCCUGCCUACUUCAAAGCCAGUGAAUGUGAGGCCCUAUAGAUAUCCUCAUUUUCAAAAAACAAAAAUGGAAAAACUAGUCAAGGAAAUGUUAGAACAGGGGAUAAUAAAGCCAAGCCACAGCCCUUUCUCCUCUCUCGUUUUGUUGGUCAAGAAAAAGGAUGGCACAUACAGGUUUUGUGUUGAUUACAGAGCCUUGAAUGCAGUCACAGUGCCGGAUAAAUUUCCUAUUCCCAUAAUUGAUGAAUUAUUUGAUGAGCUAGGAGGCGCAUGGAUUUUCAGCAAGCUGGAUUUGAGAGCUGGUUACCACCAGAUCCGAGUUCAUAAGUGAGAUACUUAUAAAACAGCAUUUCAUACUCAUGAGGGGCAUUACGAAUUUCUGGUCAUGCCAUUCGGUUUAACUAAUGCCCCCUCGACAUUUCAAGCAACUAUGAAUCAACUAUUUGCAUCUUACUUACGCAAAUUUGUUAUUGUUUUUUUCGAUGACAUUUUGGUUUAUAGUUCUUCAUUGACUGCUCAUGUCAAUCACUUGGAACAUGUUUUGUUUCGUUUGCAAGAACAUCAGUUUUAUGUCAAGUUGUCGAAGUGUCUAUUUUGCCAAGAAGCUAUUGAUUAUUUGGGUCACAUAGUGACUGCUGGAGGAGUACAGGUAGACCCUAAAAAAAUUGUAGCCAUGGUGGAAUGGCCAUUGCCACAGACUGUUAAGCAACUACGAGGAUUUCUCGGGCCCACAGGCUAUUAUCGCCGAUUUAUCCGAGGUUAUGCUUCAAUUGCGGCCCCAUUGACAGAUUUGUUGUGUAAAGAGGCAUUCCAUUGGUCUCCAGCAGCUUCGGAUGCCUUUAUGACUUUAAAAAAUGCAAUGGUGGCUGCCCCGGUAUUGCAUUUACCUGAUUUUGAGCUUGAAUUUGUUAUCGAGACGGAUGCUUCUAAUAUUGGAAUUGGCGCAGUAUUGAUGCAACAGGGUCAUCCCAUUUCUUAUUUUAGUCAAAAGUUGGGUCUUCGAUUGCGGGUUGCCUCGACUUAUAUCAAAGAACUGCACGCGAUUGUUGCUGCUGUACAAAAAUGGCGCCAAUACUUACUCGAUCGCUUUUUCAUCAUUCGAACCGAUCAUAAAAGCAUUAAAGAGUUGUUUCACCAGGUCAUUCAAACUCCUGAACAACAAGCUUACGUCAGGAAAUUGUUGGGUUUUCAUUUUUGAAUUGAGUAUAAGCCGGGAAGUUCCAAUAAGGUUGCUGAUGCCUUAUCUCGAGUACAUGCGGAUCAAUUUUCCGACUCCAUAAAUUCUCAAGCUGAGUUGUUCUCUAUAAUCUCCAAGCCAACCGUGGAUAUCCUAACCACUUUGCAUGAGGACAAUUCGUCCUUGCCUGAUCUGUUGUUACUUCAUCACAAGUUUGCCACGGGAGAACUUUCUUCAGCCUUCUCGGUUCGUGAGGGACUAUUACUUUACAACCAUCGAUACUACGUCAGUCCUCACUCCAAAUUAAAGAGCACGCUUCUUAAGGAAUUCCAUGACUCCCCCAUGGCAGGGCAUGCAGGCGUGAAACGCACCCUAGUUCGGCUUUCUUCUACUUUUUUUUGGCCGAAAAUGCGCUUUGAUGUUGAGAACUACAUUGCUGCCUGUCUUACAUGUCAGCAAAUCAAAAAUUCGACUCAAGCACCUGCUGGAUUACUUCAACCUUUACCCGUUCCUUCACUUGUUUGGGAUGCUUUGACUAUGGAUUUUAUUACAGGCUUGCCAACUUCUAAAGGCUUCGAGGUAAUCUUGGUGGUCGUGGAUCGCUUAAUGAAAUCAGCCCACUUUGGUGCACUGCCAUCUCAAUUCACAGCCAGCAAAACAGCCAAUCUUUUUGCUGAUUUGGUAGUCAAGUUACAUGGGUUUCCAAGCUCAAUAAUAUCAAAUCGAGAUCCUAUAUUCAUGAGUAAUUUUUGGCAGAAACUAUUUGAGUUAAGUGGCACUACAUUACGGCACAGUACUGCUUAUCACCCUCAAACUGACGGCCAAACAGAGGUAGUGAAUCGUGGCCUCGAACAGUACUUAAGAGCCUUUACUCAGGACAAACCGCAGUCAUGGUCAAGCUUGUUAGGUUGGGCUGAAUUUUGUUACAACACAAGCUAUCACAGUGGGUUAAAGAUGACACCUUUUCAGGCACUCUAUGGGAGAUUACCCCCCACAAUUCCUGGAUAUACAAAAGGUUCUACUUCGGUUCAAGCCUUAGAAGAUCUGUUGUUGGAGCGAGAUGAAUUGUUGAGAACUUUAAAAACUAAUUUACUUCAAGCUCAGCAUCGUAUGGAACAAAAAGCCAAUGCCCAUCGACGAGAACUCCAGUUACAGAUUGAUGAUCUUGUUUUGGUCCGCCUUCAACCUCAUCGACAAAUUUCAGUGGCUAAGCGUGCUUCUCAAAAGUUGGCUAAACGAUAUUAUGGCCCUUUCCGAAUAUCAGAACGAAUCGGAGCUGUUGCUUAUAAGCUGCAAUUGCCUGAAGGAUGCAAAGUUCACCCGGUAUUUCACAUCUCAGCACUCAAACCUUAUGUGGGAAGCUCGGCUGUUUAUGUUGCCUCUUUGCCUCCUGAUACCAUUGACAAUAAGCCUGUCUCUACUCCUAUAGCUAUACUUGCUGACAGAUUCAUAUUAAAACAAGAAAAAAAAGCAUUAUCAAAUUUUGGUUCAGUGGUCUGGCUGUGCUCCUGAGAAUUCAACUUGGGAAGACUUUGCUGAGUUCUGCAGACUGUACCCAGAGUUUAACCUUGAGGACAAGGUUCAUUCUCAAGGGGAGGGGAGUGAUACAUCCUGGCCCAUUAAAGUAAGGGAGCUGGAAGAUGGCCCUGUAGUUGAAAUGCAGGAAGUGGAGCAAACAUUGCAACGGCCAGCUCGUGCUCGCAAAACUCCAGAAUAUCUCAAGGACUAUAUCACCUAGGGGAAUAUUCGGGAGAAUUAUUCCAUGAGGACAGCUGUGAUUUUUAUUAUCUUUGUUUUAUUAUUGCAAUUGGCUAGUUACAAAAAAAGUGGUAGAAUGAAAAGGAUAUAUGUAAAGUGGAAAGGCGUGAGCAAAAGAAGAAUAUAAUACACAAAAGUUUCUUUCUUUCUUAUCUCUAUUAUUUUCUCUCUGUUCUUGUGGAGCUCACACCUGCUCGAAAGGUGGAAACCUCGUGAUACUGACAAAUAUUCAUUGGAGGUCGUAUCAGCUGCGCCCUGGCCGCAUGGAUGUGCACAUCCACAUGCCAUAUUGCACUCCAUGUGGGUUCAAAAUUCUGGCCUCCAAGUACCUUGGGAUCACAGAGCAUCCACUUUUCUCGGAGGUUGAAGAGUUGAUAGAGUAAACACAGGUGAGUCCAGCAGAAGUAGUUGCGCAGCUGAUGAGGAAUAAGGCACCUGAAAUUACGCUAAGUGGCCUACUUGAGUUUCUUAAGAUGAAGAAGAGGGACAACGAUGAGAUAGAUGCUAAAGAAGCAGAACAAAGAGCAAUAGAAGCAAAAAGUAUUCAAGAACUUCAUGAGGAAACCAGUGAAGGAAAGAGUCGAGACAUGAUAAAGAUUCAUUAAAUUUUUAUGGUGGUUUACAGCAAGAAGUAGCCAGUUUGUAGUUAAAAUCGGGGACUUACAUCAGUUAUCUACAGCAUUUACAUAAUUGGGUAGUCUCUUUCAAUUGAAAAUUUUCUGACUUAGUAUCUGCGAAAUGUAUGUUUUUGCUGCAUUGUGGAAUGAUUAGAGAUUAUCAAGUAAUUUGGAGAAGCAAGCUUGUUGUAAGGCCGCUGGAAGACCUAUGGUGUGUUUUUAAUUUAUUCUAAGUCUUUUUAUUUUGCUUAACAAUGCCGGAUUAAUAAAUCCUAGUUGUUUUUCAACAUUAUAGGUACAACUCUGAGAGACUUCUGCAUACAAACCAUCAUUGAUGAUAAACAAUUUAUUUAUUCAUUUGUUGUCUUUGUAAAUGUACAAAUGUUGCGUUUACUUGUCAGUAAUCGGAAUGUGCUUUAAUCAAAAUGUGUUGGAAUGGUAAUUAGAAUAAGUUGUUUACUUGACAUAUAGGAAUUGGAAUCGGAAUGAAUUAGAUUGUAACAAGUUACUAAAAAAUACUUAAUGAAUUAUUAUUAUAAUUAUUAUUUUAUAUUUUAAUUAUAGUGAUUAUUUAUUAAAAAAUUAUUAUUAUUAAUUAUUGUUAAUAAUAUAUUAAUAUAUUAAUUAAUUUUAAAUUUAAUUAAUUAAUUAUAAUAAAAUACUAAUUAAUUAUUAUUAUUAUUAUUAUAAAAAUAUAUUAAUUAUUGUGAUUGUUUAUUCAAAAAUUAUAAUUAUUAAUAUAUUAUUGUUAAAUAUAUAUUAAUAUAUUAAUUAAUAGUAAUAAUUAUAUUGAUAAUUAGUAUAAUAGUAUAUUAACUAAUUGAUAAUGAUAAUAAUAUAUGAAUUAGUUAAAAUAAUUAUAUUAAUAAUUAUUAAUAAUUAUUAAAAUUAUAUAUUAAUUAAUUAAUUAUAAUUAUUAAUUUAUUAUGGUUAAUAAUAUACUAAAAUAUUAAUUAAUAGUAAUAAUUAUAUUAAUUAAUUAAUAAAUAUAUAUUAAUUAAUUAAAAUAAUGAUAUUAGUAAUUAUUAUAAUAGUAUAUUAAUUAUUGUGAUUAUUUAUCAAAAAUUAUAAUUAUUAAUAACUAUUGUUAAUUAAUUAAUUAUAUUUAUUAAUUAAUUAUAAUAAUAUAUUGAUUAAUUGUAAAUGAGGACAAUGUAUGCAUAUUUAAUUUUGGGAGGACAAAAUAGUCAUUCUUAGGAAUGGGAGAUUCAUUCCCACCUCCCUUAGGAAUGAGUUUCUCAUUCUUCAUUUCUAAAUUGUGGUGGGCCACAUGAUUUCGAUUUCUAUUCCCGACUCUAUUUUACGAAAUAAACGCUGUCAAUAAUUCUGAUUUCGGGUUCCGAUCCCUUAAUCCGAGAAGUAAACACAACAUUAUAGGUACAACUGUGACGUACAAACCAUCAUUGAUGAUAAACAAUCUACUGAUUCAUUUGCUCUCUUUAUAAAUGUACAAAGUGUGAAAAUUUUCUUAGAUGAGAAUCACUUCUCACAGUUUAAUAAUCCAUUUUAACCAAUAUCUUAAGUUCUGUUUGAUGUGGUUUAUUAAUUCUUUUUAUUAACCAAUUUUCUUCAUUUCUCCCUAACCAAUUUAUAUUGUGGCUUUAAAAGUAAAUAAGUUGAAAUGAAGGUUCACAAAAUUAAUGCCUGAAAACUUGCUCAAGAAGGACUGUUUACUUGGAAACUUGCUCGAGAAGGACCACUAAUUUUUGUUUUCUAGCUAAAUUUUAAAGAAAGCGGAAUCUAUGUACUUUUUUUCUUAAGCAUUUUCAACCUUUGAAGUUAUUUCAGGACACCUUAUUUGAGAAGGAAACAUUUUUUUAAUGGAACCAAGUUGAAAUGAAAGUCUAAAGUAGUGUUUCCCACGUGACAGUCAACUGAGGUCUCUUGGUCACAAAGAAAAGCAACAACGAAAAGAUGAAAUGAACGGAAGCCUACAAAACCAGGCAAAACAAACACAUUCUCACACUCAUACUCACUCCAACAUUGUUAAAAACUCACCAGUGUCUUUCAUUUUCCUCACAAACUAAACAGCCCCAGUUACCUGCAUCAUCUAACCUCAAAAAUCCAUAAUUUUCUCUCAAACCAAACAUCCCCAAUCCUCGCCCCCCCCCCCCCCCCCCCCCCCCCCCCCCCCCCCCCCCCCCACCCACAAAAAAAAAAAUGAUUUUUAACAAUACCCAAAUGCCAUCAACUAGGACCAUUGUAUCCGCAGCUGCCUCUACAACAGCUACAUUUAUGGUCAUUCGAUCCAUUGCUCGCGAUUACUUGCCUCGUGAGGUUCAAUCUUACUUUGCUCUGAAGCUCAGAGAUUUUAUUUCAAGGUUUUCCAACGAGUUAACCCUUGUCAUUGAUGAAUAUGAUGGUGGCCUCAACCAAAACAAGCUCUUUAAAGCUGCAAAGCUUUAUCUUGAACCCAAAAUCCCUCCCAAUGUGAAGAGAAUCAAAAUCAAUUUGCCAAAGAAAGAAACUAAUAUUUCACUUUCUGUUGAGAAAAAUGAAGAGAUUGUUGAUGUCUUUAAUGGGGUUCACUUAAAAUGGAAGUUUGAGUCAAAACCAACCCCAUCUGAGGUUAUCAACAAUAGGCCAUUCAAUGGUUAUAGGGUUAAAACUGAUGCUGCAUACUUUGAGCUGAGCUUUCACAAGAAAAAUAAAGACUUUGUUUUACGUACUUACAUACCUCAUGUCUUGAAGAAGUCUAAAGAAAUAAGCCAGAAAAAGAAAACUUUGAAGCUUUUUACUUUGGGGUCUCAAAGAGGACUGAUUGGUGAUAAAUCAAUAUGGCAAUCAGUGAAUCUUGAUCAUCCGGCGACUUUUGAUACAUUGGCUAUGGAUUUUGAUAUGAAGAAGAUGAUAAUGGAUGAUCUUGAGAGGUUUCUGCAGAGGAAGGAGUUUUAUCGAAGAGUAGGCAAGGCAUGGAAACGUGGGUAUUUACUGUAUGGUCCACCAGGGACUGGCAAAUCAAGCUUAAUCGCGGCCAUGGCUAAUUAUCUCAAAUUUGAUGUCUAUGACUUGGAGUUGUCUAAUCUUCUGGGAAAUAAUGAUUUAAGGCAUAUUUUGAUUGCCACAGAGAACAAGUCCAUUCUCGUUGUGGAGGACAUUGAUUGCUGCAUUGAGUUGCAGGACAGGCUUUCGCGGGCAAGGGCUGCAAAUCCUGAUUUUCUCAUAGCAGGAUAUGAACAACAAAAACAGGUAAUCUUAUCAUCCUACAUUUCUUUAUUUUAACUUAAUAAUUCUUAAUACUGUAAAAUGAUCAGUACCGUACAUGUUGUAUAGCUAAGCUAAGCCAUUCCAGGUUUAACACCAGGAUAUAAGUUUGCAAAUCAGAGAAUUUGUUGUCAGUUAUUUUUUGUAUUCAUUUACAUGAUUUUUAUUGAGAAGUUUCUGGCGAUUUUAAUUUCCUAGUUCUAGGAUAGCAAAGAUAUGCACAUGAGAAACUGUAGAAUGUUGCCUGUAUGUAGACAAAGUUCACCCAUCUUAAAACGGGUGUUCUGCUAUGCUUCACCAGGUAAUGGUUUGGACCUGUAAAAUGGCUAAGGCUGUUCUUAUCAACAAAACAUAUAUAUAUAUAUCCCUAACUUGGCCACAUUUUUUUUUUCCUCCCUUUUUUCAGUAUCAUAUAACCUUAUCAGGAUUGUUAAACUUCAUCGAUGGAUUGUGGUCAAGCUGUGGAGAUGAGCGAAUCAUAAUAUUCACAACAAAUCAUAAAGAAAGGCUAGACCCUGCUUUGUUGCGCCCCGGUCGCAUGGACAUGCACAUUAACAUGUCCCACUGCACUCCAUGUGGGUUCAAAAUGCUGGCCUCCAACUACCUUGGGAUCGCAGAGCAUCCACUUUUCGUGGAGAUUGAAAAGCUGAUAGCGACAGCAAAGGUGACUCCUGCGGAUGUAGCUGAGCAGCUGAUGAGGAAUGAGGCGCCUGAAUUUGCACUAAGUGGCCUGAUUGAGUUUCUUGAGUCUAAGAAGAGAGCUAAUGAUGGUAGUGAAGCCAAAGAAGCAGAGGAGAGAGCUGUGCAGGCUGAGAAGAAAGUUCUCGAAAUCUCGGAGGAAUAAAUGAGACAAGCUAAUUAAAGAUUCAGUAAAUAAUUUUAUAGAGGCUUGCAAGAAGCAAUAGUUUGUGGAGUUUGUAGACUUUUAUCCAUAACAUACAUACUGGGGCAGUUUAAUUUCCUUGAAAACUCCCUUAUUGUGACAGGGUUAGCUUGGAAUAUUGCUAUCAUUUCAUGCAUGAAAAUGAUAUUAUCUAUGACUUUAUAUCAAUGAAAAGUUAGGUUGGUGUGUCAUUAUGUAUAAAUUCUAUAUUUGUUCUCACAACAUUAUUAUUAUUAUGGGCACGGCUUUGGGAGCCAUCGUUGAUUGAGAUGAUAAUUAAAAAAAAAAAAAUUGAUAGUACUCAUGCGGAAAAACAGAAUAAAUAUGUCAAAGGAAUUAAUAAAGAAUAUAAUUAAAAAUUAGAUUGACAAAAAUUCAUAAUUAACCACUUAGUUAUGAUAAAUAAGCAGAAGUAGGAUCAAAUCUUAACUCCCCAACUAACUAUUUACCAGUAAUUCGACGUGAUCUAUUUUGUAACUAACAAUUUCUCCCAAUUACAUGCUUUUCACCAAUUACUCAACUAACCCAUCUUUCAUCCUUUAGAUCAAAUAAAUCAAAAGUAAGGAGCAGAUUAUGAUCAACUUAUAGAUACUGUAUCUUAUAGCUUAAUCACCGUUAGAUAAUUUAAAAAGUCAACAAUAUUAAUGAAAUUGAUCAUUCAUCGGUGAUUAAACAGUAAGGUACUGUGCUACAAAGUGCUGUAGUCACCCGCCAGAAACCAAGAUAUCGAUAUUAAUUAAAAAAAAAAAAAAUUGAAGAGCGACCAAAACCAUAAAUCAAAAGCCCUACUAGAUAUCAUUUUCUUUACCUUAGCACCUUAAACCCCAUCUUUGUUUUACAUUUUUUCUUGGAAACCAAACAACCCCCAGCAGGCAAAAAUGCACGACAAGAAGAAGUUUUUAGCGCAACCCAAAUGCCAUCCACGAGACCGUGGUCUCUGCAGCGGCUUCUGCAGCUGCCGCGGCUAUGGUACUUCGAGAAAACUCCUUUGUUCUUAAACUGAAAGAUUUCUUUUCAAGAUUCUCAAAUGAGUUAACCUUAGUCAUUGAACAAUUUGAUGAUAGCAGCAUUAAUCAAACCGAGCUCUUUAAAGCUGCAAAGCUUUAUCUUGAACCCGGAAUCCCACCCUAUGUUAAAAGAAUCAAAAUCAAUUUGCCAAACAAGGAGACCAAGAUUUUAUCCUCCGUUGAAAAAAAAUAAAGCAAUUGUUGAUAUCUUUAAUGGGGUUCAAUUAAAAUGGACGCUUGGUUCAAAACAAGCCCAAGAACAGGUGUUUUGAGUAAAGGAAUAAGCAAGCAAAAGAAGACUUUGAAGCUUUUUACUUUAAAGGACAGGAUGUACGGAGGGAGAGACUUAUGGCAAUCGGUUAAUCUUUGAUCAUCCAGCCACUUUCGAUACACUGGCAAUGGAUUCUAAUAUGAAGCACAUGAAAAUGGAUGAUCUUGAGAGGUUUGUGAAGAGGAAAGAGUUUUAUAGAAAUGUAGGCAAAGCAUGGAAACGCGGGUAUUUGUUAUACAGUCCUCCAAGAACAGGGAAGUCCAGCUUGACUGCAGCCAUGGCUAAUUAUCUCAAUUUUGAUGUCUGUGACCUGGAGUUGACUACUCUCAGAGAUAAUGCGAAGUUAAGGAAUGUGUUGAUUGCCGCAGAGAAUAAGUCCAUUCUUGCUGCGGAGGACAUUGAUUGUUCUAUUAAUUUGCAAGGCAGGCAUUCACAGGCAAAGUCUUUGAAUCCUGUGAACUCUAAUGCGAUCAAACCAGUAACUAAUGUCAAUCAAGAACCAAAAGUGACCUUAUCAGGAUUGCUAAACUUCAUAGAUGGAGUGUGUCGAGCUGUGGAGAUGAGAGGAUCACAAUAUUCACAACUAAUCAUAAAGACAGACUUGACCCUGCAUUUAUUGUUGCGACCGGGUUGCAUGGACAUGCACAUUCAUAUGUCCUAUUGCACUCCAUGUGGGUUGAAAAUGCUGGCCUCAAACUACUUUUGUAACGCCAAAUUCCAUCAUUUUAGAUUAUGGAAAUUCGGCUUUUAUUAGAAAACAUAUACGGCAUGACACUUAUUAAUAAGUAUAUUAAAAUUAUAAAUCGGGUUAUUCGUGGGAUAAAUUUUGGAAAAAACUUUAUUUUUCUAAAUUUAAUAGGGUUUUUUAAGACUCCAUAUAAAUUACGCUCUUACUCAUACCAUGAAUUCAAACCUUUUGUUUAGGAGAGAAUCAUAAUGGUUGAUAAGUUUACUCUUCUUAUUUUCCACAUAUUUUCCUAUCACUUUAUUUAGGGUUUUAAUUUGCAUGAUUUUAAAUUGUUACAGAUCAUAAUACAUGAUUUAGGAUGUAUUUAAGUUCUGUUUAGGGCUCUGAUUUUUUGUUGAGUCUUAUUAACCAAUCUUUUAUGCAUUGACGAGAGUGAACAAAAAGAAACGGAGCAAAGAGCACUGGCAACAGAAAGUAGUACUGAAAAAUAUGAUUAGGAAACCGAUUAUGAAGAAUCGGACAACAAGGAGUAAAUUUUAGUUAAAAUUGAGGACUCGUCUUAGUCAUCUGUACCAUCCACAUAAUUGGUUAGUUACUGUUAAUUGGAAUUAUCUAUGACUUGGUAUCUAUGAAAAUUAUAUUUUUGCGGCAAUUUGUUAUGACUUAUGAUCAUGCAUAACAAGAGGUAAAUUUUUGUGGUACAUUUUUGUAGAUCGAAAGCUAUAGUUGUUCAACUCCAAUUGAAAACAUAGCUUCACAUAAGAAAAUUAGGCACAUCCUAUUCCUAUGAAUAUCCUCAGCCAGCACAUAGGAACUUUGUAAAUGUGCACUCAAAAUGCCGUCAUAUCAAAAUUUUGAAGAGUUCAAUAAUUCUUUUUAAAAUUUUAGUCUAUGUCGACAUUACAAGAUGAGAAAAUAAAACGGCAUCUUAGGUGAAAACUUUUGUUGUUCAAUAAAUAAAAACGAAAGUAGAUAUGAGGAAUAUAAGAAAAUAGAAUUUCAUUAAAGUGAAAGUGAAAUUGUUAAAGCAUAUUUAAAAAAAAAAUGAGGUGAUGAGAUCCUCACCAUUGGACCAACGAGUGGUCCGUUAAUUUAUUUUAAGUUGAAUUAUAAUUUCUCAAAACAAUCCAAUCCUAAACUUUUUAUUCCUCAAUCUAACACACAGUUAGGCAUAAUUUGCAUUUUUCUUUUGAAAUAUAUCCCUAACAUAGUAACAUUAUGCAAUGUUAACUUGCACGAUGUUAUCGUUAUUGUUAUCAUCAUUAUUUUACUUAUGCUAAAAGAAAAUUGCAUUAUUUUUAAGAAAAAUUAUAAUAAGACAUAUUUCAUGUCACGUAAUAUUAGAAUAAAUUUGCUCAUCAAAUUACAUGUAUAAGAAAAACCAAAUUCAAAAACUGGAGUUCUCUCAAAAAAUACAUAAAGCUUCCAAAAAAUACCUUAAAUACAGUAAAUAGACUCUUCUCGAUCCCUAUCUGAAAGGUAUAGUAUAACCUUUAUAAAUUAAUGUUCGACAGAGUAAUGACCUCUGUUAUGUAAUAAUUUUUUUUUUGUCCCGACUUGGGCUAAUAGCUAGGCUAUAUUAAUAAUUUUUUUUAAAAAAGAAAACCUCUUAUGAUAUAACUCUAUUGAUGGUCUCAUUCAUGUCAUAAAAUAAUAAUUUGAUAAAAAUAGAAAUAUAAUUGACUAUGGUAUUUAAAAAAUAUAACCUCAUAAUAAUAAUAUUAUUAUUUUUAAUUGAAAUACAAAUUUUAUAUUAGAUCUAUCUCUAAUUUUUAUUAUUCAUCUAUAAGUUAUAGGGUUAACUUGUACAAUCGCAAUAAAAAAUUACAAAGUAUUAUUGAUACUUUGAGUGCUUACUUGUACGUAAUAUGUUCUAAAGUUAUUGUAUUAUCCUUAGAUUGGUAAAAUACAAUAAACUUUUAGUUGAAUAAAUAUAUGUUCAUUGAAUAGUAAAUGUACUUUACAAAUAAUAAUUUUUUUAUGAUUAUAACACUAUUAAUUUAUAAAGAUUAUACUAAUGUUAAUUACAUUCAAUAUUCUCUCUCUGCCUCUCUCUCUCCCUACAUAUAUAGUAGUUUUCUCGUUUAGGAUCAUAAAGUGCAGGAAACGCCCGAAAAAAUUUUAAAACCGUGGAGUUUUAAAGGCUUAAAGCAUUUAAACUGCACAAUUUAUGUGUUUUUCCAUACGUUCCAACACUUUAAAAAUUCGGAUUGGAUAUCUCAAGUUUAAGAAUUUGUGGUAUAUGUUAUUUUUACGAAGAGAAAUUAAUAAUACAAUUCUAAUAUAAAUUUGAGUCAAAUAAAGGUAUAAGAAGAACCUAAUUAAUUCAAAAUCUAAUGGCUAGUGUAAUACCUAGCCAUACUUUAUCUAAUGAAAAUAUACUUUAGCAUGAAAGCUAUCACGGGAGAAAACUACCUAGAUGUAAAACUUUUAGACUUGUACACUUUGAUAUAAUUACACAAUGAUCAUAUAAUAUAGAUAGAUAGAUAUUUGGCUGGUCACUCUAAUUCUAAUUUUUGGGAAGGAGAGAACUAUAAAAUUGAUUUGAACUUAUCCAUCAAAUCAACUUUUAAAAAAAAUAAAUUAAAACAUAAAGAUUAAUUUAGGCCAGUUUAUUCAUGUAAUUUUCCUAUUUACUUUAGGAUUACUUGUUUAGCUGGCAUUUGUUUCCCUUAUCUAUUUAGGUCAUAGAGCCUAUAUAAAUAUGCAUAAAAUUUCUCAAGAGUCAUAAAACUUUAGAUAGUAUUUGUUUCCCUAACACUGUCCGAUUCAUCAAAGACAGGGGGAAGAAGAUUACGAAGAGAGGCGAAUCAAGCAAUGCUGAAUCGGGAGCAUAGGCUGUAGUGAGUGCCAUAAUAGUAAUACUAAGCCAGCUUCAAGGAUCAUAUAAUUGCAUAUCGUCUGCAAUUUUCUUUCUUGACAGUGAAGAAACAAAGAGAACAACCAAAACCUCCUUUACCCUUUCAUCCCCUCCAAAUACUGUGCUUUUUCCCCCAAACCAAACAGUCCCACCCCCACAAACAAGAGAAAAAAAAAUGUUUAUGUUUUUGGACACUACCCAAAUGCCAUCCAUAACAACCAUGAUGUCUGUGGCUGCCUCUGCAGCUGCUACGUUUAUGCUCAUUCAAUCCUACGCUAGACAAUACUUGCCUGAUGAGGUUAGCUCCUACUUUGAUCAGAAAUUCAAAAACUUUAUUGCAAGCAUUUACAGUGAGUUAACGUUUGUCAUUGAAGAAUAUGACGAUGGCCUCAACAAAAACACACUCUUUAAAGCGGCAAAGCUUUAUCUUGAACCCAAAAUCCCUCCCAAUGUGAAUAGAAUUAAAAUCUACCUGCCAAAGAAGGAAUCCGAAGUUUCGCUUUCUGUUGAAAAGAAUCAAGCGGUUGUUGAUGUGUUUAAUGAAGUUCGCCUAAAAUGGAUGUUUGAGUUAAAACCAGCCCCGGAUCACGAGCUUUGCAAUAACGGCAACUACAUGUUUAAAGACCGUGUCCCCUGCUUUGAGCUGAGAUUUCACAAGAAGCAUAAAGAGACUGUCUUGGGUACUUACGUACCUCAUAUCUUAAAAAAUAUAAAGAGUUAAGCAAGAAAAAGAAAACUUUGAAGCUUUUUACUUUGAGCUCUAAUAGGUAAGUCACGAUACAUGGCAAUCAGUGAACCUUGAUCAUCCAUCCACUUUUGAUACGUUGGCUAUGGGUACUGAUAUGAAGAAGAUGGUAAUGGAUGAUCUUGAGAGGUUUCUGAGGAGGAGAGAUUAUUACAGGAGAGUAGGCAAGGCAUGGAAACGUGGGUAUUUGCUGUUCGGUCCUCCACGGACGGGGAAAUCAAGCUUAAUUGCGGCCAUGGCUAAUUAUCUCCAUUAUGAUGUCUAUGACUUAGAGCUGUCUAGUGUGGAGGGAAAUAAGCAUUUAAGGAAGGUAUUGAUUGCCACAGAGAAUAAGUCCAUUCUGGUUGUGGAGGACAUUGAUUGUUGCACCGAGUUGCAGGACAGAAGUGCACAGGCCAGAACUGCAAGUCCUGAUUGGCAUAGUCCAAGACGUGAUCUGGUAACUUUAUCAUCCUAUCUUUUUAAUACCAUGUUUAAUACCUGGAUUUAUAGAUGCUGCAAAUCAGGAAUUUGAUUUUAUUGUAGAGAGGAUUUUAGAAACUUUUGGUAAUUUUGUCAAUACGUAGCACAAAAUAUUCUAGUUAAAUUUCGGGUGACUGCUUCCGGACAGUAAUUGUGAGAUACUGAGAAAGUGAUAAAGAGAUUUGAAGCUCUAAAUUAUUCUACACAAAGUGGUUCCUCCAGAUACUUUACCAAUGGGAUUCCAAUUUAUGGGUUACUAAUAUGAUGCUCGAACUAGUAAUAUGGUUCUUAAGAUUGUUCGAAUCAAUAAAUCCUAUGUACAUGCAUGACUUAAAUCACGUUUUUUUCUCAAUUUCAGAUCACCUUAUCAGGAUUGUUAAACUUCACAGACGGAUUGUGGUCCAGCUGUGGUGAUGAGCGGAUCAUUGUAUUCA